UGUAGCAAUCUCGCUUUCAAGAUGCUGGCAUCAAAAGUGUUGUUUCUUCACUCUUUGGUUUCUUUGCGGGUGUAGACAAGAAAUGUUGGCAACAAAAAGCAUUGGAUCUUCUUUGCCAAAGUUCUGUAAGGUUGAAAGAAUCUUCAAGUGAAUGUUUUAAUGGUCGUCAGUCUUCAUCAAUUUAACGUCUCUCAAAUAAGCUAAAGCUGAAAAGCAAAGGAAAUCAAUAUAUCGAACUUCACAGAUCUCAAUAACCAUAUGGCCAAGUACUGCCGAAUACAAUAUUUAGCUGCUAACCAAAUGAGCCACUGAAAAUGGCAAGCAUGAAUAUUUUAAACCCGUCGAUAUGUGCGAAGGGGUCACUUUCAUUUUGUCAUGACUGUCAGAAGUCGUCAGAAGAGAGCAAGAAUAUCAAAGUUCUGCUAUUACUAUCCGUAUGUUUAUCUGCAUGUUUGGGUAUCUGAUUAAAAAUAAAAAUUGUUUUCAUUAAAAAUUUCAUUACCCCGCCCAUAUUGUGUGUGUGUUUAUGUCACAAAGGGAGUAUAAUAAUGCAAAAGAAAAAG